rnacentral:rRNA from 1 species
UACGUAGGGGGGCAAGCGUUGUCCGGAUUUAUUGGGCGUAAAGAGCGUGUAGGCGGCCCGGUAAGUCCGCUGUGAAAGUCGGGGGCUCAACCCUCGAAUGCCGGUGGAUACUGUCGGGCUAGAGUGCGGAAGAGGCGAGUGGAAUUCCUGGUGUAGCGGUGGAAUGCGCAGAUAUCAGGAAGAACACCCGUGGCGAAGGCGGUUCUCUGGGACGGUACUGACGCUGGAGACGCGAAAGCGUGGGGAGCGAACAGG